GAUGAACGCUGGCGGCGUGCUUAACACAUGCAAGUCGAGCGAGAAGUUUUGAAAAGAUUCUUCGGAUGAAAUUUAAAAUGGAAAGCGGCGGACGGGUGAGUAACGCGUAGGCAACCUGCCCCAUACAAAGGGAUAGCAUUUGGAAACGAAUAUUAAUACCUUAUGAAACUUAACUAGUGCAUGCUAGGUGGGUCAAAGAUUUAUCGGUAUGGGAUGGGCCUGCGUCUGAUUAGCUAGUUGGUGAGGUAACGGCUCACCAAGGCGACGAUCAGUAGCCGACCUGAGAAGGUGAACGGCCACAUUGGCACUGAGACACGGUCCAAACUCCUACGGGAGGCAGCAGUGGGGAAUAUUGCACAAUGGGGGAAACCCUGAUGCAGCAACGCCGCGUGAACGAUGAAGGCCUUUGGGUCGUAAAGUUCUGUUCUAGGUGAUGAAAACUGACAGUAACCUAGGAGAAAGCCCCGGCUAACUCCGUGCCAGCAGCCGCGGUAAUACGGAGGGGGCAAGCGUUAUCCGGAAUUAUUGGGCGUAAAGGGUACGUAGGUGGCCUUUUAAGCGUAGGGUAUAAGGCAAUGGCUCAACCAUUGUUCGCCCUAUGAACUGGAAGGCUUGAGUGCAGGAGAGGAAAGCGGAAUUCCUAGUGUAGCGGUGGAAUGCAUAGAUAUUAGGAGGAACAUCAGCGGCGAAGCGGCUUUCUGGACUGCAACUGACACUGAGGUACGAAAGCGUGGGGAGCAAACAGGAUUAGAUACCCUGGUAGUCCACGCCGUAAACGAUGAGCACUAGGUGUCGGGGUCGUAAGGCUUCGGUGCCGUAGUUAACGCAUUAAGUGCUCCGCCUGGGGAGUACGCACGCAAGUGUGAAACUCAAAGGAAUUGACGGGGACCCGCACAAGCAGCGGAGCAUGUGGUUUAAUUCGAAGCAACGCGAAGAACCUUACCAGGACUUGACAUCCUUC
rnacentral:rRNA from 1 species